GAUUUUGUGAACUUGGCUUUCUUUAUGAUUCCUGUCUAUCUUUCCCCCAAAGGCUAGUUACUGAGCAAAUUCCUGUGAGAGCCCCCGAUGACUGUAAAAACCACCCCCUGAUAUGUAUAAUGUUCCAGACUGCAACAUGCUCAUGAAGGGAUCCAGGAAAAGACCACAUGUUGCUAAAGGUUUUCCUCUGUGAAGAGCAACCUGCAAUCAAAAUUUUGGCAUAUAAUAUAUUAUAGGGCUUUUCAUUUUAUGAAUGUGGCUG
rnacentral:lncRNA from 1 species